rnacentral:rRNA from 1 species
UACGGAGGGUGCGAGCGUUGUUCGGAAUUACUGGGCGUAAAGCGCGUGCAGGCGGCCGACUAAGUCCGGUGUGAAAGCCCGGGGCUCACCUCCGGAAGUGCGCUUGAAACUGGUCGGCUAGAGUACGGGAGAGGGAAGCGGAAUUCCUGGUGUAGCGGUGAAAUGCGUAGAUAUCAGGAGGAACACCGGCGGCGAAGGCGGCUUCCUGGACCGAUACUGACGCUGAGACGCGAAAGCGUGGGGAGCAAACAGG